UUUCUACUCCCUCCGUUCGGAAUUACUUGUCUCGGAAAUGGAUGUAUCUAGAACUAAAAUACGUCUAGAUACAUCCAUUUCCGCGACAAGUAAUUCCGAACGGAGGGAGUAGUUU
rnacentral:pre_miRNA from 1 species